rnacentral:rRNA from 1 species
UACGGAGGGGGCUAGCGUUGUUCGGAAUUACUGGGCGUAAAGCGUACGUAGGCGGCUUUGUAAGUUAGAGGUGAAAGCCCAGAGCUCAACUCUGGAAUUGCCUUUAAGACUGCAUCGCUUGAAUCGUGGAGAGGUUAGUGGAAUUCCGAGUGUAGAGGUGAAAUUCGUAGAUAUUCGGAAGAACACCAGUGGCGAAGGCGAGUUUCUGGACGGUAACUGACGCUGAGGCACGAAGGCCAGGGGAGCAAACGGG